GAUGAACGCUGGCGGCGUGCCUAACACAUGCAAGUCGAGCGAACAGACGAGGAGCUUGCUCCUCUGACGUUAGCGGCGGACGGGUGAGUAACACGUGGAUAACCUACCUAUAAGACUGGGAUAACUUCGGGAAACCGGAGCCAAUACCGGAUAAUAUAUUGAACCGCAUGGUUCAAUAGUGAAAGACGGUUUUGCUGUCACUUAUAGAUGGAUCCGCGCCGCAUUAGCUAGUUGGUAAGGUAACGGCUUACCAAGGCAACGAUGCGUAGCCGACCUGAGAGGGUGAUCGGCCACACUGGAACUGAGACACGGUCCAGACUCCUACGGGAGGCAGCAGUAGGGAAUCUUCCGCAAUGGGCGAAAGCCUGACGGAGCAACGCCGCGUGAGUGAUGAAGGUCUUCGGAUCGUAAAGCUCUGUUAUUAGGGAAGAACAGAUGUAUAUGUAACUAUGCACGUCUUGACGGUACCUAAUCAGAAAGCCACGGCUAACUACGUG
rnacentral:rRNA from 1 species